rnacentral:rRNA from 1 species
ACUCCUACGGGAGGCAGCAGUGGGGAAUUUUGGACAAUGGGGGCAACCCUGAUCCAGCAAUGCCGCGUGAGUGAAGAAGGCCUUCGGGUUGUAAAGCUCUUUUGUCAGGGAAGAAACGGUGGUGGCGAAUAACUACUACUAAUGACGGUACCUGAAGAAUAAGCACCGGCUAACUACGUGCCAGCAGCCGCGGUAAUACGUAGGGUGCAAGCGUUAAUCGGAAUUACUGGGCGUAAAGCGUGCGCAGGCGGUUGUGUAAGUCAGAUGUGAAAUCCCCGGGCUCAACCUGGGAAUUGCAUUUGAGACUGCACGGCUAGAGUGUGUCAGAGGGGGGUAGAAUUCCACGUGUAGCAGUGAAAUGCGUAGAUAUGUGGAGGAAUACCGAUGGCGAAGGCAGCCCCCUGGGAUAACACUGACGCUCAUGCACGAAAGCGUGGGGAGCAAACAGGAUUAGAAACCCCAGUAGUCCCAUG